GGGCUCGUGGUGUAGCUAUCCUGUUCCAUCAGGGACGGGGCUACAAUGGAUAUCACCGGGGCUUCCGGAGCCCCAAACCCGGGUUCGAAUCCCGGCGAGUCCG
rnacentral:tRNA from 1 species